rnacentral:rRNA from 1 species
AGUGAACGCUGGCGGUAGGCCUAACACAUGCAAGUCGAACGGCAGCAUAGUAAGAGCUUGCUCUUACGGGUGGCGCGUGGCGGACGGGUGAGGUAUACAUUGGAAUCUACUUUUUCGUGGGGGAUAACGUAGGGAAACUUACGCUAAUACCGCAUACGGCCUACGGGUGAAAGCCGGGGAUCUUCGGACCUUGCGCGAUUGAAUGAGCCGAUGUCGGAUUAGCUAGUUGGCGGGGUAAAGGCCCACCAAGGCGACGAUCCGUAGCUGGUCUAAGAGGAUGUUCAGCCGCACGGGAGCUGAGACGCGGUCCAGACUCGUACGGGAGACAGCAGUGGGAAAUAUUGGACAAGGAGCGCAAGCCUGUACCAGCCAUACCGCGUGAGUGAAGAAGGCCUUCGGGUUGUAAAGCCCUUUUGUUGGGAAAGAAAAGCAGCGGUUAAUACCCCGCUGUUCUGACGGUACCCAAAGAAUAAGCACCGGCUAACUUCGUG